UACGUAGGGUGCAAGCGUUUGUCCGGAAUUAUUGGGCGUAAAGAGCUCGUAGGCGGUUUGUCGCGUCUGCUGUGAAAACCCGAGGCUCAACCUCGGGCCUGCAGUGGGUACGGGCAGACUAGAGUGCGGUAGGGGGAGAUUUGGAAUUCCUGGUGUAGCGGUGGAAUCGCAGAUAUCAGGAGGAACACCGAUGGCGAAGGCAGAUCUCUGGGGCCGGUAACUGGACGCUGAGGAGCGAAAAGCAUGGGGGAGCGGAACAGG
rnacentral:rRNA from 1 species